GGCGGCGUAGCUCAGUCUGGUUAGAGCGCUCGACUCAUAAUCGAGAGGUCGGAAGUUCAAGUCUUCCCGUCGCUACUA
rnacentral:tRNA from 1 species